GGAAUUUUCCGCAAUGGGCGAAAGCCUGACGGAGCAACGCCGCGUGAGGGAUGAAGGCCUCUGGGCUGUAAACCUCUUUUAUCAAGGAAGAAGAUCUGACGGUACUUGAUGAAUAAGCCACGGCUAAUUCCGUGCCAGCAGCCGCGGUAAUACGGGAGUGGCAAGCGUUAUCCGGAAUUAUUGGGCGUAAAGCGUCCGCAGGCGGUCUUGUAAGUCUGUUGUUAAAGCGUGGAGCUUAACUCCAUUUCAGCAAUGGAAACUGUAAGACUAGAGUGUGGUAGGGGCAGAGGGAAUUCCCGGUGUAGCGGUGAAAUGCGUAGAUAUCGGGAAGAACACCAGUGGCGAAGGCGCUCUGCUGGGCCAUAACUGACGCUCAUGGACGAAAGCCAGGGGAGCGAAAGGGAUUAGAUACCCCAGUAGUC
rnacentral:rRNA from 1 species